rnacentral:rRNA from 1 species
CCUACGGGAGGCAUCAGUGGGGAAUAUUGGACAAUGGGGGCAACCCUGAUCCAGCCAUGCCGCGUGUGUGAAGAAGGCCCUCGGGUUGUAAAGCACUUUCAGUGAGGAAGAACGCCUGGUGGUUAAUACCCAUCAGGAAAGACAUCACUCACAGAAGAAGCACCGGCUAACUCCGUGCCAGCAGCCGCGGUAAUACGGAGGGUGCGAGCGUUAAUCGGAAUUACUGGGCGUAAAGCGCGCGUAGGUGGCUUGAUAAGCCGGUUGUGAAAGCCCCGGGCUCAACCUGGGAACGGCAUCCGGAACUGUCAAGCUAGAGUGCAGGAGAGGAAGGUAGAAUUCCCGGUGUAGCGGUGAAAUGCGUAGAGAUCGGGAGGAAUACCAGUGGCGAAGGCGGCCUUCUGGACUGACACUGACACUGAGGUGCGAAAGCGUGGGUAGCAAACAGGAUUAGAUACCCGUGUAGUC